UACGGAGGGGGCUAGCGUUGUUCGGAAUUACUGGGCGUAAAGCGCACGUAGGCGGCUUUGCAAGUCAGAGGUGAGAGCCCGGGGCUCAACCCCGGAAUUGCCUUUGAGACUGCAUCGCUAGAAUUGUGGAGAGGUAAGUGGAAUUCCGAGUGUAGAGGUGAAAUUCGUAGAUAUUCGGAAGAACACCAGUGGCGAAGGCGACUUACUGGACACAUAUUGACGCUGAGGUGCGAAAGCGUGGGGAGCGAACAGG
rnacentral:rRNA from 1 species